rnacentral:lncRNA from 1 species
CUCAUGAUUUGGGCCUAGUGGUGCAUUUUGCUAAAGUCAGUAAUUGCCCACUGGGAACUAUAAAUUAUAGUUUUCACGCCCCUUGUUUUAUAUUUUCUUUCAGAGCCUUCCACUCCGGGAGAGGCUCGGGAUCGCGGGAAAGGUUUCGCCUCGAGUUAGCUAUCGAGGGACUUGGUGAUAGGUGGUCCACCUCUCUUUUGUUUUCUUUUGGAGAGGUUGUGAGAGUUUUGUACCUGGUUAUAGAGACCACCCUGUUUUUAUAUCUUGAGAUUUAUGAUGUAUUAGUUUACUUUAUGUUUUAGUGGUUCAGUUCUCUUUUU